rnacentral:rRNA from 1 species
AUUGAACGCUGGCGGCAGGCCUAACACAUGCAAGUCGAGCGGAUGAAGGGAGCUUGCUCCUGGAUUCAGCGGCGGACGGGUGAGUAAUGCCUAGGAAUCUGCCUGGUAGUGGGGGAUAACGUCCGGAAACGGGCGCUAAUACCGCAUACGUCCUGAGGGAGAAAGUGGGGGAUCUUCGGACCUCACGCUAUCAGAUGAGCCUAGGUCGGAUUAGCUAGCUGGUGGGGUAAAGGCCUACCAAGGCGACGAUCCGUAACUGGUCUGAGAGGAUGAUCAGUCACACUGGAACUGAGACACGGUCCAGACUCCUACGGGAGGCAGCAGUGGGGAAUAUUGGACAGUGGGCGAAAGCCUGAUCCAGCCAUGCCGCGUGUGUGAAGAAGGUCUUCGGAUUGUAAAGCACUUUAAGUUGGGAGGAAGGGCAGUAAGUUGAUACCUUGCUGUUUUGACGUUACCAACAGAAUAAGCACCGGCUAACUUCGUG